GCCCGGGUGGUGGAACGGUAGACACGGGGCCCUCAAAAGGCCCUGUCCGCAAGGGCGUGCGGGUUCGAAUCCCGCCCCGGGUA
rnacentral:tRNA from 1 species